UUACGCGGGAAAGCUUCGUGUUCUUGAAGUUGCUCUGACGCGAGGAUGAUGAUAUUAGAGUUCGGAAUUAUUGGUGGCUUACGAUGCUGUAAGCUAACACAGAUCCUGUAUGUGUUGCUGUAGUGCUUGUUAUUAUGAGUUCAAAUCUCCUUCCACGGUGAGCUUUGAAAAUGAUCUCGUGCCAGCGGUGUUUUAUGUUGAUACGUGAAUUUUAUUGCUACCUGAACAACAGUUUUCG